UGGGGAAUAUUGCACAAUGGGCGCAAGCCUGAUGCAGCCAUGCCGCGUGUAUGAAGAAGGCCUUCGGGUUGUAAAGUACUUUCAGCGGGGAGGAAGGUGUUGUGGUUAAUAACCACAGCAAUUGACGUUACCCGCAGAAGAAGCACCGGCUAACUCCGUGCCAGCAGCCGCGGUAAUACGGAGGGUGCAAGCGUUAAUCGGAAUUACUGGGCGUAAAGCGCACGCAGGCGGUCUGUCAAGUCGGAUGUGAAAGCCCCGGGCUCAACCUGGGAACUGCAGCCGAAACUGGCAGGCUUGAGUCUUGUAGAGGGGGGUAGAAUUCCAGGUGUAGCGGUGAAAUGCGUAGAGAUCUGGAGGAAUACCGGUGGCGAAGGCGGCCCCCUGGACAAAGACUGACGCUCAGGUGCGAAAGCGUGGGGAGCAAACA
rnacentral:rRNA from 1 species